rnacentral:tRNA from 1 species
UACAUCUUGGUGUGUGGUGCACGACAGCUUUUGAUGCUUGAAGGUGACAGUUUGACUCUGUUAGAUGUAA